GUCGAUUUGCAGCGGGGCGGCGUGAGGGAUAUCUCGUUUGGAAGAGCAGGUGGAGUACAAGGUCGCGUCGAGGUCCAAUGACCGGAAUAUCGGCUCCACAGAGGACGCCAUCACAGGUGCAUCGAUCUCAAUCUUCUCCUCCAUUGCCAUUGUCUUCGUUACCCGUGUGUGUAGCAGGUGUGCUCUCACACUCAAGAAUUUUCAGUACCUGAUGGGUUCUUUCUAAUUCAGAUCUUGCUUGCCUUAUCGUGACAUCUUCUUUGCCAUGGUAAGCACAUCAUGGUUCGUUCGCCCUCAUGACUUUUUAUUAUGACAUUAAUGGAGUUCAGAAAGCAGUUUUAGUGAAGAUCGAAUGGUUUUUAGAUUAAGUAGAUAAUACAAGAGUACUCUUCUGUAGUGUAUUGUUGUUCAACU
rnacentral:lncRNA from 1 species